rnacentral:rRNA from 1 species
UACGUAGGCAGCAAGCGUUGUUCGGAGUUACUGGGCGUAAAGGGUUCGUAGGUGGCCUGCUAAGUCGGACGUGAAAUCCCUCGGCUCAACCGGGGAACUGCGUCCGAUACUGGUGGGCUCGAGUGCAGGAGAGGAACGCGGAAUUCCAGGUGUAGCGGUGAAAUGCGUAGAUAUCUGGAGGAACACCGGUGGCGAAGGCGGCGUUCUGGACUGCAACUGACACUGAGGAACGAAAGCCAGGGGAGCAAACGGG